rnacentral:lncRNA from 1 species
CUAUAUUGUUAGAGCUGAAAAUUCUGAUAUGAACAUUUACUGAUAACAAUUAAUUCGUGCUUCCAGGUUUAGUUUUUUGAUUAUAUGAUUCAAGGGGUGAGCUCAUAUAUGGAGAUAUAGCAACAUCAUGACAAGAAUGAGGUAUAUAAAGAUGGCACAUUCUAAUGAUUGUUCAUAACCUAUCAUAUUUGUGCUGGCAGAUAUCACAUCAUCACCUAUCAUAUAGGAUCUUAUUAGUAUCUUGGCUGGAACGUCCACCCUAUCAUGAUUAUGUGAUUUUUGAGAUAAUAACAUUUGAAUUAUGUGAUGAAAACCAUGGUUGACAAGUGCUCGUGGUCCCCUAGCUUGGAUAAUUGAACCUAUAGCUGUGAUCGAGGCUGCAUGCGGCAUGUUACCAUAGUCUGGGAUGAAAUUGUACAAGGUUAAUAAGCUAUGCUUAUUAUUUUUCGGAUCUAUAUGUAUUUAUAGAAGCAUUAGUAGCAGCAGCACCACCAUCACCACCACCACCCUGGCUACAUGUUUAAAAGCACACAAAAAUACAGGCAAUAAUUAGAACUUUCAUUAAAGAGAGAGCUGGAUGAUUGGAAUGGCAUUGUGGGGGCUAUCGGCU